rnacentral:rRNA from 1 species
GGGAGGUAGGUGACAAUAAAUAACAAUACGGGGUCCUUUAGGGUCUCGUAAUUGGAAUGAGUACAAUUUAAAUCUCUUAACGAGGAACAAUUGGAGGGCAAGUCUGGUGCCAGCAGCCGCGGUAAUUCCAGCUCCAAUAGCGUAUAUUAAAGUUGUUGCAGUUAAAAAGCUCGUAGUUGAAUUUCGAGAUCAGUACGCUGGUCGUGCCUUCGGUAUGCACUGGUGUCACUGGUUUCUCCCUUCUGAAGAACCGUCAUGUCAUUAAGUUGGUGUGGCGGGGAAUCAGGACUGUUACUUUGAAAAAAUUAGAGUGUUUAAAGCAGGCUCGCGCUUGAAUACAUUAGCAUGGAAUAAUGAAAUAGGACGUUUGACCCUAUUUUGUUGGUUUCUAGGAUCGACGUAAUGAUUAAUAGGGAUAGUUGGG